ensembl:lncRNA
GCUGGGGCUAGGGUUUAGGAUCCAGAAGGACAGUAUGCCACUGUGUGGGCUGAGUUAGAAAGCGAAGUCGUUCGCAAUGAAUCCAUGGCAGCUUCAAUCGAGCGGUGAGCUGGAGCACCUACUCACAGGCCACUCCUUGAUGUGACUGAAGAGAGGCCUUUACCAGCACUCACUGAGGAGAACGGAGCUCUGGAUUUACCUCCUGCACACCCAGACAACCCCAGCACAGGCACUGCGAGAUUCCAGUGACAGAUGGAUCUCUCUCGUGCACACUUGCUCUUUCCCUCUCUGUAUUUUUGUUUUCGACAUGUUUGAUCUGAAGCUCUGAAGCUUCUCAGAGGAAACCAGGGAGAGAAGGAAGAGAAGGAGGAGGAACUGAGGGAGCGUGAGCGACAGAGGAGGCAGCCCUGCCUUGUUCUUCCAAAUCACACCGUGGAGGGGUGG